CCACACACUCACAGCUUCUGUCUUGGGAGAAAAGCUUUUAAGCAGCCUAUUCUAUCUUUUUGAUGAUAAAUUUUUCUUUCUCUCUAACUUUAUGCCCAAUAAACAGUCCCCCUAAGUUUCUCCUUCCCUCCCUGCCAUACCUGUAUCCUGCCACCCAACCCAAUGACUCUGCUGACCUCUUCAGAAGUGCUGAGUCACCAUGCCAUGAUCACUAUGUCUCCUGAAACAGCCAGAAAUAUCUCUUUAUGUGCUCCAAAUGUUACGGUCUGAGAGAAGACAACACAAGGAAGAGGAAAUGCAUAGGAAAUUGGACUCACUUGGGAUGACUUGGAGCUUUGUUCCAGUUCCAAAGAGUGACUUUGGGAUGUUAUCUGGGCACCUGGAAGCUUUGGCCCUGGCCAUGGAGGGCACUGAGGUUGCAAGGGGCUGCCAGCUGCAAGAAAAAGUGUUUGCAUUUCAGAUCAGACUUCUCUGAUGGAACUGACCACCGGGCUAAGGAGACGUCUUCCAUACUGCUUCUCUGUUAAGCUUCCAUUCUGCUUCCCUGUUAACAACGCAAACUGCUACCUGGCAGAAGUGAGGAUGGAGAAGGCAUGAAGAAUGCUCUGCUCCUCAUGAAAUAUGGUUAAAUCGAGAACAUUUGGCAGUCCACUUAGAUUUCCAAAAAAGCUUAUUACUUGUCUUAAUAACUAAUCAAAUUCAGAAUUCCUUAGUAAUAAUACUUACUAAGAUCCACCUUUAACAUGGUCCCCCUUGCAAAGAGCAGCUUCUGGCCAUCUGAAAACCCACAGUGAUCUAUUGUACCACAAAAACCAAAGGAUGCUUCGUUUCCAAGCAUAGUACUUCUCCCAGGGUUCUUUCGCUUGGUUGAAACCUAAUCUAACAC
rnacentral:lncRNA from 1 species